rnacentral:rRNA from 1 species
ACGUGGACAAUCUGGCCUGAAGUGGAGAAUAAUCCCGGGAAACUGGGGGUAAUACUCCAUAGUUCGUGGAAACUGGAAUGUUUUACGAACGAAAGAUCCGUCGCUUCAGGAUGAGUCUGCGGCCGAUUAGGUAGUUGUUGGGGUAACGGCCCAACAAGCCCUUCAUCGGUACGGGUUGUGGGAGCAAGAGCCCGGAGAUGGAUUCUGAGACACGAAUCCAGGCCCUACGGGGCGCAGCAGGCGCGAAAACUUUACCAUGCGGGCAACCGUGAUAAGGAAACCCCGAGUGCCAGCAUAGGCUGGCUGUCCGCCAGUGUAAAUAGCUGGUGAAGAAAGGGCCGGGCAAGACCGGUGCCAGCCGCCGCGGUAAUACCGGCGGCUCGAGUGGUGGCCACUAUUACUGGGCUUAAAGGGUCCGUAGCUUGAUAGGCAAGUCUCUUGAGAAAUCCGCCAGCUUAACUGGGGGGCGUUCAGGGGAAACUGCUUUUCUAGGGACCGGGAGAGGUGAGAGGUACUGCCGGGGUAGGAGUGAAAUCCUGUAAUCCCGGUGGGACCACCUAUGGCGAA